AAGCCUGUAAUUCAGUGGUUGUCGUUUGUUUAUGUGUUACAUAUUUUUCUUUUUUUUUUAAAUAAAUAAGGCCGUUAGUUUUCUCGUUUGAAUUGUUUUACAUUGUCUUAUCGGGGCCUUUUAUAGCUGACUAUGCGGUAUGGGCUUUGCUCAUUGUUGGAGGUCGUACGGUGACCUAUAGUUGUUAAUGUCUGUGUCAUUUUGGUCUUUUGUGGAUAGUUGUCUCAUUGGCAAUCAUACCACAUCUUCUUUUUUAUAUAAAC
rnacentral:lncRNA from 1 species